GAAGACUUGGGUAGUGUUGUCAUCAGAUGUCGUACUAGAAAAAGUUCAAAAAUGAAGUGGAAGCAGCUGUCUUAGGAGGAUUCAAGAAUGAUGCAGUAACAUGGUUGAGUGGUCCUGCAGUCCUUGUUCUGCAAAGAUGACUGGAGACUCAUCUUCAGGAGAAAAGUCCUCUUUGUGGUCUUGCAGUCCCCAAGCACUGGCUGAACUCUACAAGAAUGGUUCUGGAUGCAGCCUGCAACAGCAGGCUUUAAUAUAAAUAUAUAAAUAAUUCUUGCUGCACAGAAGAAGCCCCAAAUCUGGAUUUCUUAGAGGUGUAUAGACAGAGCUCAGAAAUAAUCUGGACCUGUGGAAGAUUCAGAAAGCUCUCCUGACACUGUAAGUGUGAAACAUGUAUUCAGCCCUAACAGCUAAUGAAUCUUACGGACACAAGCUGGCAAGCUCAUUGCCUGGUUACAGCGUAACAUCCACAUUAUCUUAGGACAGAGUCUGGAGGAGUGGAAUGAGUCAUAAAUAUGCAGUUUUCUCUGUCUCUUGAAGUAGAAUUAAUAGCAACCAGAAAAGCUGCCAUCAAGGACAAAAGUGAGCAAAACACAUUAGAAUCUCUAUCAUGGGGUUCAAAUCCCACCAGGAAUCUGUAUCUCAAACAUGGGCAUAUAUUCUGAUAAGGUCUCAAGGACUUUAUUAACCAUAGGGUAAACACAUACAGAAGCCUGACUGAUUAAACAGUGACUGACAGAAAACAUCGAGGGGAACUUGGACCUAAUUAAGAAAAAUUACUGACUCCUUCCUACAUAAUCAAGAUUAAACAAUGAAGGAGGAACUGAAAUAAAAAGAGCACUGCACAGAAAACCCAGGUCACAUAAUGGAAUAUGUAAGCCUAUGGGAUUCCUUCCUGUUGUCAACUGAAAGUCCUUAAAAAAAAUAAAGGAGCUCAUUAGACUUUGAACUAGAAAGGAAGAAACUCUUCAAAGAAAGAUAGACAGUAGAAUACUGUAUUUCUCUCAAAAGGCUGGUGCAGUUAGGUAGCUGAGGCAAUAGAGACUAUGCUGUAUCAAGAAAAUGGUGCAGGAAUUUGCAGGAGGCCAUAUACGGCUAUUCUGUUGGAGACAGCUGUCAGGUCUCUCUUGCUGUUAUCUGAGGACAAAUCUGAAAAAAAAUGAUUUGUAACUUGAACUUUUAACUGGAGAACAAAGUCUGGUAAUUCUCUAGGUGAAACUAAAGCAAGGCCAAAUAGUAAGGGCCUUGCUUUUACUUGUCCUCACUUUUUUCCAGUGGCCGUCAAUCCUGUGAUCCUUAUUCUAGGGGGAGGCAAUUAUAGAUUUCUCCAAUGUUAUGAUCACAGUAGGAGGAACCGGAUGGGUGUAAAAACAGAUCAGUUCUCUGGAUGCUGAAUACAACCCUGUACCUCUCCUUGCCACUGGAAUACAAGUUCCACAUUAUGAGCUGGACAUAUUAAAGCAGGCAUUCUGUCAUGCAUUACCAGAAAUCCUUAGCAUCCCUUGGUUGUCCAGGUACAUUCACCCCGACCUAUGUUCACUUCCAAUAGGAAGAGGAGGAAUUUUUGAGCUACAAGGUAGUCAAGCCAAAGAAUAAGGAGUUGAGCAUUACAGAAUCUUGGAAGCAUAAGUACACCUUUGACUCUUUAUGAAUUUUGUGAAGCUGCUGCCAUAGCAAGACAGUUCACGCUCAGGCAUCUCAACUCUUCCAAAGAGAGCAUCUAAUGGCAUUCAUUGAAUUUCUCUUCCUCUAUUGAGAAAGAGAAGAAUACAGAACUCAGAUCAGCUUGGAUAGUUUUUGCCAACUGUUGCAGACUGGACAGGUGCUUUUGGAAUCUGGAAAAAACAUUAUCUUCUAAAAACAAACAAAAAAUCAUAUCCCUGGAAAUUUAAUCAUACUCAGUGAUGGCAAGAAAGGCCUGUGCACAAAAGUUUCUGCAUUUAGGUUACAUGAUCCAACAUGUGCUCACAACCUAAGCUACAGGAUCAUGUUCUGUAGCAUCACAGGUGCAUUGCUCAAACCCUGAGACAGAAGUGUUGGCACUGGAGUUGCAAUGUAUGUGAGAGUUUCUGUGUGUUCUACUUCGGCUUGGUAACCCUUGCCAUCCUACCCUUGAAAGACUGCUGGAUUUGUUAUUAUGUCCAUUCAUUUACAAGAUACAAUUCAGCUUAUUUCAGUAAGAUUAGCCACAGUUUAAGGUGAUAAAAAUGAGAAACAGACUAUAUUAGGUCUGCAAGUCCUUGUAUUUUCACAACAAAGCUACUUGAACUGAAACACCGUUAAGUGCGACAAAUUAACUUUAUGCUCAUUUAUAUUACCAAAUUGAUGCUGUGGGGUCUAUAAAAUUAUCGUUAUUUUUAAGAAUUCUUACAGAAAUGUUUAUUAUUCUACAUAUUCAAUUCAUGAUUAAUACAGUAAAGUAAUACAAAUUACUAGAAAUAAAGUAAAUCUUACGUGGCAUGAUGCCCUGGUCCACCAGCUGUUCUCGUGUCCGCCUUUGCUGUAGCCUUAGCUGAAGUACUGAUAAAAGAAAAGUAUUUUGCAUGUAAGCAAACUAUCUCUACUGAACUGCAAAAAGAAAAACAUUCAAAAAAGAUACUAAAUAUCUUUAGAAAUAUUUCUGCUAUAUGCAUGCAGACCUGACACUAAAGUCCAAGACACCUAUCAUUAAGGUUAGUAAUUAAUGCUACAUUAAUGCUAGUAACGUAGUUAAGAGCAAUUGCUUCCAAUCCCUAUUUAUGUUGUACUUUGCUAAUUUUGUCAUACCUAAUAA